GAUUGAACCACAUCAACUCUAGUUUGAUCUGCAGUUGCAAGCAUCGAUCUGAGAUGUUAGGUCAUUUGUUAGAUUUGGAAGCAUCGAUAUGAUAAUCAGGCAAUAAGAUUGCAGUUCCAGAAUAUCAUCAUCAAUGUCAUCAAUGUCUACUUUUAUAGCACGAAGCAGGCGACAUAGGCAAUGAUAUGAGAAUGAUUUUCGCUUUGUAGCUGGGUAAAUUAUCAAGUCCUUUUCCGUUUCUAACUUUUCUCUUUCACUUUGACUUGUUUCAUCAUUUAUCUGGCAAUAUCGACUCAUUUUUUGCGCGUAAUUAGGAUUCUUCACUUGUUUGUACUAAUUAGUUGCAAUAAACAACAAGGGGUAGGACAAAAAGAGGAAAAUACUUCCUUCUUUUUAAAAAAAUGUUGUUGACUUUCAUCUGAAUCGUUUUUUUUAGAAUUAUCUAUGUUAUAUCGACAUACAAGAAUAUUUUGAUGAUGAUGUAUUCUUGUCUAAUUUCCUACCUAGCCAUCUUGUGUUAAUUACAGCUAUGUCUGUAGUUAUUACUGCAUCUAUGGGGAAUCCUUGCUGAUUCUCUUAUCAUAAAACACGAAGAGGUGUAUUCUAUACGGAAUCAAGAAAGAUGGUGAGGGUGACGCGGUUGAUUGCGAGAGUAGGUUGGAACUUCUUAUGGUGUCAUCUCCUGAUCAAGAAGACAUUGUUUUCCCAAAGGGUGGAUGGGAGGAUGAUGAGACUAUAGCCGAAGCCGCAUGUCGUGAAGCCUUGGAGAAAUUAUGACUAAAGAAGACGUACUGAUUUGGGGAAAUUCAUUACUUUUCUUAGGCUUGAUUAUGGACGACCUGUUUUGUUCAGACUCUCCCAUAGUUACUAUAGUAAAGAUAUAAAUCAAUUAUGAGAAGUGACUUAUGUUCAUUUUGCCCAAUCACCAACUUAAAGCUCUAUUUUUCGUGUACAAUUUAUCAAAGAUUAUUUCUUCUAGAUUAUGUCUUCUCACUCUUGAUGUUUUUUUUACUCUUCUGCACAGGAAAGUCCCUUGGGAAUGUGGGAAUUCAGAAGUAACAGCAGACAGAAUAGCUGCAGUAUGGAAGGAUUUUGCAGGGGUUACAUGUUUGCAUUAGAAGUGACUUAAGAACUUGAUACCUGGCCAGAGGAGGAUAAGCAUGGCAGACUUAAGAACUUGAUACCUGGCCAGAGGAGAUAAGCAUGGCAGAAGAUGGGUAAGUCUGCCAAUGCUUGAAUUUUUAUUGGUAUUGAGUUACUAAUGUUGAUGUCGUUGAACUUAUCAACAUUAGUAAAUUCCUCCUGGUUGUGGUAAAACUAUAAUUUCCAAGGCUAUAACAAAUGAGGUUGGGGAAAAUUUCACACAAUAAGUUCCUCAGAAUUGAAACUUGUUAGCAGCUUGUCUGCUUAAGAUUACAAAUUAACUAUGAUCACCAACUAGGGCCCUGAACUUCUGAACAAUUUUGUCUAUCCGGGUUAACAAUGGAGCACUUCAGCAUGUGCAUGACCUUUACCUGGAGUUAGGGAAGAAAUAUAGGCAAAACUAUUACCAUAUGGCUAUUCAAUAAAUAAACCAAUCUCUUAUACAUGUAUGCUCUCUGUAAAUAUGAUUCUCAUUCGUGGGUUUUACUGUGUGCUGUAAAAUAGGGACCAUACAUAUGCGCUGCAAAGUUUGUAAGUCAGUGGACCUGUUUUAAGAAGCCUAAACGUCAAGCUCUUAAGGUUUUAAAAUAGUUCCGCGCAGAAGAAAUAGGCUUAAGGUGAGAGAUGGAUGCAAGUUGAUGAGGAGGUUCAGCUAGGGAAUGAUGGAUAUGUUGGUUCGCUUCAACCUGCAGUUGUUUAUCUUAUACAUUUCAAUCUAUUUCAGAAAUAUUUCCAGUUGUCAUUCAUUACUCUGACAUGGGUUCUUCAUCAUCUUGGUCGCAUUUACGAGAAGAGAAUUGGGCGCCAUCGUGUGAUCAUCCUCUCAAAGCCACAAUUAUUUGCAGCAUUCUGAUUUCUCACUGUAAGAACUUGUAACAUUCCAUUUCUGUAUGAAACCCAUAGAAGCUAAUACAAACAUAAUUGCACCAAGUACAAUGUAACAAACAGUACUGAAAUUAUGGCUUUAUUCUAACUCUUGAUUCCUUCAGUUUUA